rnacentral:rRNA from 1 species
AAAAGAAGUUCAAGAACAGCUUCAGAAUGAAGCUUUCUUGAUGGAGGGGAGCGGCAGACGGGUGAGUAACGCGUGGGAAUCUACCCAUCUCUACGGAAUAACUCAGGGAAACUUGUGCUAAUACCGUAUACGCCCUUAGGGGGAAAGAUUUAUCGGAGAUGGAUGAGCCCGCGUUGGAUUAGCUAGUUGGUGAGGUAAAGGCUCACAAAGGCGACGAUCCAGAGCUGGUCUGAGAGGAUGAUCAGCCACACUGGGACUGAGACACGGCCCAGACUCCUACGGGAGGCAGCAGUGGGGAAUAUUGCGCAAUGGAGAAGAACUCUGACGCAGCAAUACCGCGUGAGCGAAGAAGGUCUUCGGAUCGUAAAGCUCUGUUAUCAGGGAAGAAGAAAAUGACGGUACCUGAUGAGCAAGUCCCGGCUAACUACGUGCCAGCCGCCGCGGUAAGAC